rnacentral:tRNA from 1 species
GAGGCUUAGCUCAGCUGGUUAGAGCGCCUGCUUCACAUGCAGGAGGUCACAGGUUCAAGUCCCGUAGUCUCC